rnacentral:rRNA from 1 species
GAGUUUGAUCCUGGCUCAGAAUGAACGCUGGCGGCGUGCCUAACACAUGCAAGUCGCGCGCGAAAAGGCGCAAGCCUUAGUAGAGCGGCGGACGGGUGAGUAACACGUGGGUAAUCUGCCUAGGAGCGGGGGAUAACCUGGGGAAACUCGGGCUAAUACCGCAUACGAUCACGGGGUCUCGGCCCUGUGCUGAAAGGUGGCCUCUGCUUGCAAGCUACCACUCCUAGAGGAGCCCGCGCCUGAUUAGCUAGUUGGUGGGGUAACGGCCUACCAAGGCGACGAUCAGUAGCCGGCCUGAGAGGGCGAUCGGCCACACUGGAACUGAGACACGGUCCAGACUCCUACGGGAGGCAGCAGUGAGGAAUCUUGCGCAAUGGGGGAAACCCUGACGCAGCAACGCCGCGUGGAGGAUGAAGGUCUUCGGAUUGUAAACUCCUGUCAGAGGGGACGAAUGUUCACGGGCUAAUCACCGUGAGCUUGACGGUACCCUCAGAGGAAGCCACGGCUAACUCUGUGCCGGCAGCCGCGGUAAUACAGAGGUGGCAAGCGUUGUUCGGAAUUACUGGGCGUAAAGGGCGCGUAGGCGGCCUGUUAAGUCGAACGUGAAAUCCCCGGGCUCAACCCGGGAACUGCGUCCGAUACUGGCAGGCUUGAAUCCGGGAGAGGGAUGCGGAAUUCCAGGUGUAGCGGUGAAAUGCGUAGAUAUCUGGAGGAACACCGGUGGCGAAGGCGGCAUCCUGGACCGGCAUUGACGCUGAGGCGCGAAAGCCAGGGGAGCAAACGGGAUUAGAUACCCUGGUAGUCCACGCCGUAAACGGUGGGUACUAGGUGUGGGUUUCCUUCCUUGGGAUCCGUGCCGUAGCUAACGCAUUAAGUACCCCGCCUGGGGAGUACGGCCGCAAGGCUAAAACUCAAAGGAAUUGACGGGGGCCCACACAAGCGGUGGAGCAUGUGGCUUAAUUCGAGGCUACGCGAAGAACCUUAUCCUGGGCUUGACAUGUCCGCAAGGGGCAAGACGUAGGGACCGGAAACGGCACCCGACAGGUAUCCAAUCCUGAGCUUGCCACAGGUGCUGCAUGGCUGUCGUCAGCUCGUGUCGUGAGAUGUCGGGUUAAGUCCCAUAACGAGCGCAACCCCUGUUUCCAGUUGCCAGCGAGUAACGUCGGGGACUCUGGAAAAACUGCCGGUGUUAAACCGGAGGAAGGUGGGGAUGACGUCAAGUCCUCAUGGCCUUUAUGCCCAGGGCUGCACACGUGCUACAAUGGGGCGUACAAAGCGCUGCGAGCCCGCGAGGGCGAGCGAAUCGCAAAAAGCGUCCCCCAGUUCGGAUUGCAGGCUGCAACUCGCCUGCAUGAAGCCGGAAUCGCUAGUAAUCGCAGAUCAGCAUUGCUGCGGUGAAUGUGUUCCUGAGCCUUGCACACAC